rnacentral:rRNA from 1 species
UACAGAGGUCUCAAGCGUUGUUCGGAUUCAUUGGGCGUAAAGGGCGCGUAGGCGGCGAGGUAAGUCGGGUGUGAAAACUUACAGCUUAACUGUGAGCGUGCUUUCGAUACGGGCAGACUUGAGGCAUUCAGGGGAGAACGGAAUUCCUGGUGUAGCGGUGAAAUGCGCAGAUAUCAGGAGGAACACCGGUGGCGAAGGCGGGUCUCUGGGCCGUAACUGACGCUGAGGAGCGAAAGCGUGGGGAGCGAACAGG